rnacentral:rRNA from 1 species
AUUGAACGCUGGCGGCAGGCUUAACACAUGCAAGUCGAGCGGGGUGAUGGUGCUUGCACUAUCACUUAGCGGCGGACGGGUGAGUAAUGCUUAGGAAUCUGCCUAUUAGUGGGGGACAACAUCUCGAAAGGGAUGCUAAUACCGCAUACGGCCUACGGGAGAAAGCAGGGGAUCACUUGUGACCUUGCGCUAAUAGAUGAGCCUCAGUCGGAUUAGCUAGUUGGUGGGGUAAAGGCCUACCAAGGCGACGAUCUGGAGCGGGUCUGAGAGGAUGAUCCGCCACACUGGGACUGAGACACGGCCCAGACUCCUACGGGAGGCAGCAGUGGGGAAUAUUGGACAAUGGGGGGAACCCUGAUCCAGCCAUGCCGCGUGUGUGAAGAAGGCCUUAUGGUUGUAAAGCACUUUAAGCGAGGAGGAGGCUCUUUUGGUUAAUACCCAAGAUGAGUGGACGUUACUCGCAGGAUAAGCACCGGCUAACUCUGUGCCAGCCGCCGCCGUAA